rnacentral:rRNA from 2 species
UGCAGUCGAACGAUGAAGCCCUUCGGGGUGGAUUAGUGGCGAACGGGUGAGUAACACGUGGGCAAUCUGCCCUUCACUCUGGGACAAGCCCUGGAAACGGGGUCUAAUACCGGAUAACACUCUGUCCCGCAUGGGACGGGGUUAAAAGCUCCGGCGGUGAAGGAUGAGCCCGCGGCCUAUCAGCUUGUUGGUGGGGUAAUGGCCUACCAAGGCGACGACGGGUAGCCGGCCUGAGAGGGCGACCGGCCACACUGGGACUGAGACACGGCCCAGACUCCUACGGGAGGCAGCAGUGGGGAAUAUUGCACAAUGGGCGAAAGCCUGAUGCAGCGACGCCGCGUGAGGGAUGACGGCCUUCGGGUUGUAAACCUCUUUCAGCAGGGAAGAAGCGAAAGUGACGGUACCUGCAGAAGAAGCGCCGGCUAACUACGUGCCAGCAGCCGCGGUAAUACGUAGGGCGCAAGCGUUGUCCGGAAUUAUUGGGCGUAAAGAGCUCGUAGGCGGCUUGUCACGUCGGAUGUGAAAGCCCGGGGCUUAACCCCGGGUCUGCAUUCGAUACGGGCUAGCUAGAGUGUGGUAGGGGAGAUCGGAAUUCCUGGUGUAGCGGUGAAAUGCGCAGAUAUCAGGAGGAACACCGGUGGCGAAGGCGGAUCUCUGGGCCAUUACUGACGCUGAGGAGCGAAAGCGUGGGGAGCGAACAGGAUUAGAUACCCUGGUAGUCCACGCCGUAAACGUUGGGAACUAGGUGUUGGCGACAUUCCACGUCGUCGGUGCCGCAGCUAACGCA